rnacentral:siRNA from 1 species
GCAUCAGCGUGCUCCGGGCG